AUUGGUCCAAAUUUCCUAGUAUGAAAACGAUCAAAUCAGGCCCUCUGUAGAUACAUACACCUUCAAUUCCGCUUCUCUCACAUACAUUACAAUUACUUAAAUAGAACCCCAAUUUCUUAAUGGGGUUCUGCUCUAAUCAAGAUUUGGUCAAUCUUUCAUUAUCAUAUAGGCCUUAGUUCUUCAGCAAGAUUUUGUGAUUUAAUUUGGCCUCUCAAACCAAACUUCCAUUGGAUUGAAUAAUGUGGAUGAAUUGAUAAUGGGAAGUUUUCUUCGUGGUUUUGUGCUGCCAUCUCUGCUCUUAUCAGCUGGUUUACUCAAUUGGAGUUUGAUUUCUCUUGUCAAUUUGGUGUCUUCUCUUCUUCUGCGAUUUACUGCACCAAAAAGAGGAUUCCGUUUCAAAGGGAGAGUUCUGUUGUGGUUUGUUUUUCUAUUUUCAGUUCUUACUAUUCUGCUGGAAGUGGUUUUUCUUAUUGUAU